rnacentral:rRNA from 1 species
GACGAACGCUGGCGGCGUGCUUAACACAUGCAAGUCGAACGGUAAGGCCCUUCGGGGUACACGAGUGGCGAACGGGUGAGUAACACGUGGGUGAUCUGCCCUGCACUUCGGGAUAAGCCUGGGAAACUGGGUCUAAUACCGGAUAGGACCACUGCCUGCAUGGGUGGUGGUGGAAAGCUUUUGCGGUGUGGGAUGGGCACGCGGCCUAUCAGCUUGUUGGUGGGGUGAUGGCCUACCAAGGCGACGACGGGUAGCCGGCCUGAGAGGGUGACCGGCCACACUGGGACUGAGAUACAGCCCAGACUCCUACGGGAGGCAGCAGUGGGGAAUAGUGCACAAUGGGCGCAAGCCUGAUGCAGCGACGCCGCGUGAGGGAUGACGGCCUUCGGGUUGUAAACCUCUUUCAGCACCGACGAAGCGCAAGUGACGGUAGGUGCAGAAGGAGGACCGGCCAACUACGUGCCAGCAGCCGCCGUAA